rnacentral:rRNA from 1 species
GAUGAACGCUGGCGGCGUGCUUAACACAUGCAAGUCGAACGGAAAGGCUCCUGCUUGCAGGGGUACUCGAGUGGCGAACGGGUGAGUAACACGUGGGUGAUCUGCCCUGCACUUCGGGAUAAGCCUGGGAAACUGGGUCUAAUACCGGAUAGGACGAUGGUUUGGAUGCCAUUGUGGAAAGUUUUUCGGUGUGGGAUGAGCUCGCGGCCUAUCAGCUUGUUGGUGGGGUAAUGGCCUACCAAGGCGUCGACGGGUAGCCGGCCUGAGGGGGUGUACGGCCAAAUGGGGACUGAGAUACGGCCCAGACUCCUACGGGAGGCAGCAGUGGGGAAUAUUGCACAAUGGGCGCAAGCCUGAUGCAGCGACGCCGCGUGGGGGAUGACGGCCUUCGGGUUGUAAACUCCUUUCGCUAGGGACGAAGCGCAAGUGACGGUACCUGGAGAAGAAGCACCGGCUAACUACG